rnacentral:rRNA from 1 species
ACUCCUACGGGAGGCAGCAGUGGGGAAGUCUUGCGCAAUGGGCGAAAGACCUGACGCAGCCAUGCCGCGUGAAUGAUGAAGGUCUUAGGAUUGUAAAAUUACUUUCACCGGGGACGAUAAUGACGGUACCCGGAGAAGAAGCCCCGGCUAACUUCGUGCCAGCAGCCGCGGUAAUACGAAGGGGCGUAGCGUUGCUCGGAAUUACUGGGGCGUAAAGCGCAUGCAGGUGGUUUGUUAAGUCAGAUGUGAAAGCCCGGGGCGUCAACCUCGGAAUAGCAUUUGAAACUGGCAGACUAGAGUACUGUAGAGGGGGGUAGGAAUUUCAGGUGUAGCGGUGAAAUGCGUAGAGAUCUGAAGGAAUACCGGUGGCGAAGGCGGCCCCCUGGACAGAUACUGACACUCAGAUGCGAAAGCGUGGGGAGCAAACAGGAUUAGAUACCCUGGUAGGAUAGCG